CUUCCGUAGGUGAACCUGCGGAGGGAUCAUUACCGAGUUUACAAACUCCCAAACCCUUUGUGAACCUUACCUAUCGUUGCUUCGGCGG
rnacentral:rRNA from 1 species